GUCUCUUUACUCAAAUAAGUCAUGACUCUCAUCAUCAAGCCUUUGGCAUCCAUUUUUCCUUCAUCAGUGGAAACUGGCAUAACACCUUCUAACAUGAAGUUGCUAAAGUUAUUCCACUUUUUAAAUCAGGAGAUACUGAGACCUUUACAAUCCAUCAGCUUUGUCUAGAUUCAAGACUCGACUUUUUUAUUGUCAAUUCACCAUAUGUGCAGUACAUACAGAGAAAUUAAAAUGUAGUUUAUCUGUGUCACUAUGAUGACAUAGACCAUGCAGCACAAUAAUGCUAAAGAUUAAGAUAGGAAGACUAACUAUAAAAAAAGAGUUUGUUGGGACUUGGGAGUAUGUUUACUGUGUUUGUCCACCAGAGGUCCUCCUGGAGCCACUGCUGACUCUAUACAGGUGUUCCUGAUCUUUGGAUGAUUGUGUGUACCUGGGAGGAGUAUUUAGGAGCCUGCCACCAGUCCUUCAUUGCCUGAUUGUUUUGCCCAUGUGUACCUGUGAGGUGUGGGUGUCUUCCUCUUUACCUGGACCUGGACUUCCAGUAUCUCUCUCUAUUGUUUGUGAACUUUGGAUUAUCACCACUAGACUGUGGUUUGGAUUCUAAAUCUCCCAAGCUCCUUCCUCUGUGUGGACUCUGAUCUGCUGUGGACCGCUCUUAUUGGACAAGCCUUCUGGAUUACCUGACUCCCAAGCCCAAUGACAACCCGAGAAGUCUGAAGUACCUGCCUGAGCAUUUCCUACCGGGUUUCCGGUGUGACUUGAAACAUUGACUGUAAAUAAACUUUUGAACCUUUA